UACGUAGGGGGCUAGCGUUGCUCGGAAUCACUGGGCGUAAAGCGCACGCAGGCGGAUUGUUAAGUCAGGGGUGAAAUCCUGGAGCUCAACUCCAGAACUGCCUUUGAUACUGGCGAUCUUGAGUCCGGGAGAGGUGAGUGGAACUGCGAGUGUAGAGGUGAAAUUCGUAGAUAUUCGCAAGAACACCAGUGGCGAAGGCGGCUCACUGGCCCGGUACUGACGCUGAGGUGCGAAAGCGUGGGGAGCAAACAGG
rnacentral:rRNA from 1 species